AUGAAAACAGGAAGGAGACACGGGCGAGUCAGCUCCACUGAAAGUCUGUAGCUGUGACUUUCUGGUUUGCCACUCCAAUUUGAGUACUAAUUAAGUGGUAGUCACAUCUGCAACAUAAAAACCAAAAUAAUGGCAUCCUCGUGGAAGGAAUUUUGUCAGAAAAGUGCUGUGUACUUUGCUGUCUUCCUAGGAUUUGUUCUGUUUUUGUUUGUUUGUUUUUUUUAAUGGUUCCACAGGCUGCAUAGGAAUACAAGCUAACCAAUAUUUUAAUUACAGAUCAUUAAGCAGCUUUGAGUCUGGAAAAUUUGUCAAAUGUACCGAGCAAUUAGAAUUGUUACCAGGAGAAAAUAUCAAUCUACUUGCUGGAGGAUCAAAAGAAAAAAUAGACAUGAAAAAACUGCUUCGUAACAUGUGAAGUCCAGAUCCAAGGGAACCUCAGAAAUCCAUUGAAGUUCCAUUGUUAAGAAGUUCUGUUUGUUUGGCAACUGCUUUAAACCCGAU
ensembl:lncRNA novel transcript